rnacentral:rRNA from 1 species
GAAUUUAAGCAUAUUAUUAAGCGGAGGAAAAGAAACUAACUAGGAUUCCCCCAGUAAGGGCGACUGAAGCGGGAAGAGCUCAGGAUGUGAAUCAGCGCUUCGGCGUUGAAUUGUGGUCUGUAGAUUGUAUCACCACCAGCCGGGCCAAGUCUCUUGGAAAAGGGCAGCUUAGAGGGUGAAACUCCCGUGCGCCUGGCAGGAUGAGAUGCUAAUCAAAGAGUCGAGUUGUUUGGGAUUGCAGCUCAAAGCGGGUGGUAAAUUCCAUCUAAAGCUAAAUAUUGGUGGGAGACCGAUAGCGUACAAGUACCGUGAGGGAAAGAUGCAAAGAACUUUGAAAAGAGAGUUAAAGAGUACCUGAAAUCGCUGAAAGGGAAGCGAAGGAAACCAGUGCAGGUCGAAUCAUACUUCCCUGGCCGCUCGCGGCUUGGGCGCUGUGGCUUGACCAAAGUCCUGCUUGGUUGAAACUUUUGGAAGAGCUUUGAAGAGAGUUGACCUUCACUGCUGACAUUGGUUCCAACUGAGCUAGACAAAAUGGUUUUCUUUUUCCCGUCUUGAAACACGGACCAAGGAGUCUAACAUAUGUGCGAGUACAGGGGUGGCAAACCCCGGUGCGCAAUGAAAGUGACAGUGGUUGGAUGCUUUUUGCACAAUCCGCCGGCCUCAAUCCCUCGGGAGAACGGUCUGAGUGUGAGCAUACAUGUUGGGACCCGAAAGAUGGUGAACUAUGCCUGAAUAGGGCAAAGCCAGGGGAAACUCUGGUGGAGGCUCGUAGCGGUUCUGACGUGCAAAUCGAUCGUCAAAUUUGGG